rnacentral:rRNA from 1 species
AUGAACGCUGGCGGCGUGCCUAAUACAUGCAAGUCGCGCGGACAGAUAAGGAGCUUGCUCCUUUGACGUUAGCGGCGGACGGGUGAGUAACACGUGGGUAACCUACCUAUAAGACUGGAAUAACUCCGGGAAACCGGGGCUAAUGCCGGAUAACAUUUAGAACCGCAUGGUUCUAAAGUGAAAGAUGGUUUUGCUAUCACUUAUAGAUGGACCCGCGCCGUAUUAGCUAGUUGGUAAGGUAACGGCUUACCAAGGCAACGAUACGUAGCCGACCUGAGAGGGUGAUCGGCCACACUGGAACUGAGACACGGUCCAGACUCCUACGGGAGGCAGCAGUAGGGAAUCUUCCGCAAUGGGCGAAAGCCUGACGGAGCAACGCCGCGUGAGUGAUGAAGGUCUUCGGAUCGUAAAACUCUGUUAUUAGGGAAGAACAAAUGUGUAAGUAACUGUGCACGACUUGACGGUACCUAAUCAGAAAGCCACGGCUAACUACGUG